rnacentral:rRNA from 1 species
GACAAUGGGCGAAAGCCUGAUCCAGCAAUGCCGCGUGUGUGAAGAAGGCCUUCGGGUUGUAAAGCACUUUUGUCCGGAAAGAAAUCCUUGGCUCUAAUACAGUCGGGGGAUGACGGUACCGGAAGAAUAAGCACCGGCUAACUACGUGCCAGCAGCCGCGGUAAUACGUAGGGUGCGAGCGUUAAUCGGAAUUACUGGGCGUAAAGCGUGCGCAGGCGGUUUGCUAAGACCGAUGUGAAAUCCCCGGGCUCAACCUGGGAACUGCAUUGGUGACUGGCAGGCUAGAGUAUGGCAGAGGGGGGUAGAAUUCCACGUGUAGCAGUGAAAUGCGUAGAGAUGUGGAGGAAUACCGAUGGCGAAGGCAGCCCCCUGGGCCAAUACUGACACUCAUGCACGAAAGCGUGGGGAGCAAACAGGAUUAGAUACCCUGGUAGUCCACGCCCUAAACGAUGUCAACUAGUUGUUGGGGAUUCAUUUCCUUAGUAACGUAGCUAACGCGUGAAGUUGACCGCCUGGGGAGUACGGUCGCAAGAUUAAAACUCAAAGGAAUUGACGGGGACCCGCACAAGCGGUGGAUGAUGUGGAUUAAUUCGAUGCAACGCGAAAAACCUUACCUACCCUUGACAUGGUCGGAAUCCCGCUGAGAGGUGGGAGUGCUCGAAAGAGAACCGGCGCACAGGUGCUGCAUGGCUGUCGUCAGCUCGUGUCGUGAGAUGUUGGGUUAAGUCCCGCAACGAGCGCAACCCUUGUCCUUAGUUGCUACGCAAGAGCACUCUAAGGAGACUGCCGGUGACAAACCGGAGGAAGGUGGGGAUGACGUCAAGUCCUCAUGGCCCUUAUGGGUAGGGCUUCACACGUCAUACAAUGGUCGGAACAGAGGGUUGCCAACCCGCGAGGGGGAGCUAAUCCCAGAAAACCGAUCGUAGUCCGGAUUGCACUCUGCAACUCGAGUGCAUGAAGCUGGAAUCGCUAGUAAUCGCGGAUCAGCAUGCCGCAGUGAAUACGUUCCCGGGCCUUGUACACACCGC